UACGGAGGAUCCGAGCGUUAUCCGGAUUUAUUGGGUUUAAAGGGUGCGCAGGCGGAAGAUUAAGUCGGUGGUGAAAUUUUGCAGCUCAACUGUAAAAGUGCCAUUGAUACUGGUUUUCUUGAGUGUGGAUGAAGUAGGCGGAAUUUGUGGUGUAGCGGUGAAAUGCACAGAUAUCACGAGGAACUCCGAUUGCGCAGGCAGCUUACUAAACCAUAACUGACGCUCAGGCACGAAGGCGUGGGGAUCAAACAGGAUUAGAUACCCG
rnacentral:rRNA from 1 species